rnacentral:tRNA from 1 species
GGAGCGGUCGUUUAAUGGUAAAAGCACCAAUGGCUUCGGGUCCAUUGGAGAUGCAGGGUUCAAAUCCCACUCGCUUCA